AGCAGCCGCGGUAAUUCCAGCUCCAAUAGCGUAUAUUAAAGUUGUUGCAGUUAAAAAGCUCGUAGUUGAAUUUCGGGAUCAAUAUGUUGGUCGUGCCUCGGUACGUACUAGCUUAUUGGUUUCUCCUUUCUGAAGAACCAUGAUGUCAUUUAUUUGGUGUCGUGGGGAAUCAGGACUGUUACUUUGAAAAAUUAGAGUGUUUAAAGCAGGCUCACGCUUGAAUACAUUAGCAUGGAAUAAUGAAAUAGGACGUUUGAUUCUAUUUUGUUGGUUUCUAGGAUCGACGUAAUGAUUAAUAGGGAUAGUUGGGGGCAUUAGUAUUCAAUUGUCAGAGGUGAAAUUCUUGGAUUUAUUGAAGACUAACUACUGCGAAAGCAUUUGCCAAGGAUGUUUUCAUUAAUCAAGAACGAAAGUUAGGGGAUCGAAGACGAUCAGAUACCGUCGUAGUCUUAACCAUAAAC
rnacentral:rRNA from 1 species